CCUACGGGAGGCAGCAGUGAGGAAUAUUGGUCAAUGGGCGCAGGCCUGAACCAGCCAAGUCGCGUGAGGGAAGACUGCCCUAUGGGUUGUAAACCUCUUUUAUCAGGGAAGAAUAAUGACUACGUGUAGUCAGAUGCCCGUACCUUAUGAAUAAGCAUCGGCUAACUCCGUGCCAGCAGCCGCGGUACUACGGAGGAUGCGAGCGUUAUCCGGAUUUAUUGGGGUUAAAGGGUGCGUAGGUGGUAUUUUAAGUUAGUGGUAAAACGUCGGGGCUUCACCUUGAUUGGCCGUUAAAACUGGAGUACUAGAGUACAGACGAGGUAGGCGGAAUAAGUGAAGUAGCGGUGAAAUGCUUAGAUAUCACGCAGAACCCCGAUUGCGAAGGCAGCCUUCCGGCGCCCUACUGACGCUGAGGCACGAAAGUGCGGGGAUCGAACAGGAUUAGAUACCCUUGUAGUC
rnacentral:rRNA from 1 species